rnacentral:rRNA from 1 species
GACGAACGCUGGCGGCGUGCCUAAUACAUGCAAGUAGAACGCUNGAAGAGAGGAGCUUGCUCUUCUUGGAUGAGUUGCGAACGGGUGAGUAACGCGUAGGUAACCUGCCUUGUAGCGGGGGAUAACUAUUGGAAACGAUAGCUAAUACCGCAUAACAAUGGGUGGCACAUGUCAUUUAUUUGAAAGGGGCAAUUGCUCCACUACAAGAUGGACCUGCGUUGUAUUAGCUAGUAGGUGAGGUAACGGCUCACCUAGGCGACGAUACAUAGCCGACCUGAGAGGGUGAUCGGCCACACUGGGACUGAGACACGGCCCAGACUCCUACGGGAGGCAGCAGUAGGGAAUCUUCGGCAAUGGGGGCAACCCUGACCGAGCAACGCCGCGUGAGUGAAGAAGGUUUUCGGAUCGUAAAGCUCUGUUGUAAGUCAAGAACGAGUGUGAGAGUGGAAAGUUCACACUGUGACGGUAGCUUACCAGAAAGGGACGGCUAACUACGUGCCAGCAGCCGCGGUAAUACGUAGGUCCCGAGCGUUGUCCGGAUUUAUUCGGCGUAAAGCGAGCGCAGGCGGUUUGAUAAGUCUGAAGUUAAAGGCUGUGGCUCAACCAUAGUUCGCUUUGGAAACUGUCAAACUUGAGUGCAGAAGGGGAGAGUGGAAUUCCAUGUGUAGCGGUGAAAUGCGUAGAUAUAUGGAGGAACACCGGUGGCGAAAGCGGCUCUCUGGUCUGUAACUGACGCUGAGGCUCGAAAGCGUGGGGAGCGAACAGGAUUAGAUANCCUGGUAGCCCACGCCGUAAACGAUGAGUGCUAGGUGUUGGAUCCUUUCCGGGAUUCAGUGCCGCAGCUAACGCAUUAAGCACU